AAAAAACCAAUUUUUUCUGCUUAAAUUGCAAAAAAAAAUCUAAUAAAAAUAACAAAAUUUUGUUACAAAUUCUUACACAAACACAAUAAAAAUAAAAGUAAUACAUAAGCAUUCGGUUACAAAUUUUAACAUCCAUCUAAACCACAAACAUAAUAUAAAUGUCUAAAAACAUACAAACGUUUACAACAAAUAACCUAAGGAGCGUCAUGUAGAUUGUCGGGAGGGUUAUUACAGUCAUGUCGUCUCAUAAAUUCAACAAUUUCCGCCAUUUUUCUUUCAGUUUCGGCAUGACGUUGUUCCAACUCCCGAACCUAAACAAAUGUUAAAAGAAACAUACGUACAUUAAUACAUACAUUAGUAAACACAUAAAAAGUAACACAAUAUAUAUUAACAUUUUUAUAUAUUAUAUAGCAACAGAUCUACACCCUAAAGUCCUAAACUAAGUCUUUCAUGCCUCUUACUUCUUUCUUUAAAAAGAUACUCAUGUCUUUCAUGCCUCCUCUUUCUUACUUUUACUUAUAAUAAACCUAUUUUAUUGGCUGUAUUUACACAAAUACAAAUAAAAUGUGAGAUUAAUAUAGUUUUGAUGUGUAAUCUACCAACAGUUAAUAUCUCUAGUACUAUGANAUAAAGUGUUAACACAAUAAGUAAAUCAGAUGGUUAUACACUUAUGCUUAAAGCUUAAUCAGUGUUCUCUCAUAAGCAAAUAUCAAUUGAAUGUAGCCACUUAUAAAUAGAUAAGUAUUUUAACUUGAAGGUUAUCAAUUAUUGAUGACAUUACUUCCAUGUUUUGAGUGAUUAUGAAUUCAAGAUCCAAUAAUGACAUGCUAUGCUAAUUAUUCUCUUUGACUUUAUAACUUGUUUUCCCUUAACAAAGAUCUUAAACUAGAAAUUGUGAAAUAAUAUACAUUGGGAAAAUAGUACACAUGCAAGAAAACAUUACAUGAUCUUGGUUUUAGUUAAAUUUCUUUCUCUCCCUCUUUAUUAUAUAAAUUUAAUCUUUUUCCCCCUCCCCCACCAAAAAACAGAAUUGAAAAUGAUAGGAACUAAAGGAAUUUAAAACCUAAAAUGUACAAAAAUCCUACUAUCUCAAACGUGUUAAACUAUCGCAGGUAAAACUUUUGAAAUUUUCUUUAAAAGCAAUGAUCUUUGAGAGAUGAGAACCUAAAAUAUCUAAGCAAAAACGAAAGAAACAACACUGAGGAAUUGCUACUUGCCUGAGAAACAAGAGAGGAGAACGAAGAGAGACGGAAAAUCAGCAAAGGAAUCCGAUUUCAGCAACAACAUCAAACCAGAACAUCAUAUUAUCAACUAAAUACCCUCUUUCAGUAGUCUAGAUUACUCAAAAUAAAUAAAAAAACAUAGACCAAUCAAAAAUAUGAUACACAUUGCAUAUCAACAACAACAAAAAUCGGAAGUCUAAAUUGAUUAUUAAAAACAUAUACCAAGCAGAAAUUAGAAGUCUAGAUUACCGGAGGUGGAGCUGUGGAUCUGAAAUCAGGUCGUCGGCAGUCAGACGACAGCAGGCGGACGGAGCAGGCGAAACGGAACAGGGGGUGAAGGCAAUGGUCGAUUACAGGUUCCCGUCGUUCGAUUGCUAGAGAGAGGCAUGAUGGUCCCGAUUUCAGACUUCGGUCGUCGUUCGAUUUGUAGAGAGUUUGUGAAGACGAAGAAGUGAAGCCGCAAGCCGAUAGACAGAAGCAUGAAGUCGUGUAGAACUGACGCCGUUGAUUUCGAUUUUCCGAUUGUCUUGUGUCGGCGUCUCAAAGAAAAAGGAAAGAGACAAAACCUAAAAAUCAGAUCAUAUGUUUAUAUAUAUAUAUAUUCA
rnacentral:lncRNA from 1 species